AUUGAACGCUGGCGGCAGGCCUAACACAUGCAAGUCGAGCGAGCGGCGGACGGGUGAGUAAUGUAUGGGGACUGUCCGUUAGAGGGGGAUAAAUACUGGAAACGGUGGCGAAUACCGCACACUGUCGGAUAACCCAUAUGGGAUUAGCUAGUAGGUAGGGUAAUGGCUUACCUAGGCGACGAUCCCUAGCUGGUCUGAGAGGGUGAGCAGCCACACUGGGACUGAGACACGGCCCAGACUCCUACGGAGGCAGCAGUGGGGAAUAUUGCACAAUGGGCGCAAGCCUGAUGCAGCCAUGCCGCGUGUAUGAAGAAGGCCUUAGGGUUGUAAAGUACUUUCAGUCGGGAGGCGUUACCGACAGAAGAAGCACCGGCUAACUCCGUGCCAGCAGCCGCGGUAAUUC
rnacentral:rRNA from 1 species